GAUGAAGAACGUAGCGAAAUGCGAUACGUAAUGUGAAUUGCAGAAUUCAGUGAAUCAUCGAAUCUUUGAACGCAUAUUGCGCUCUCUGGUAUUCCGGAGAGCAUGCUUGUUUGAGUAUCAGUAAACACCUCAACUCCCUUUUCUUUUUUGAAAUUGGAGCUGGACUUGAGUGAUCCCAACGCUUUCUUCCAAGAAAGUGGCGGGUUGCUUGAAAUGCAGGUGCAGCUGGACUUUUAUCUGAGCUAAAAGCAUAUCUAUUUAGUCCUCGUCAAACAGGAUUAUUACUUUUGCUGCAGCUAACAUAAAGGAUAAUUGUCCUCUUUGCUGACUGAUGCAGGAUUUUACGACACUUUAUGUGUUGUUCAACUCGAUCUCAAAUCAAGUAAGACUACCCGCUGAACUUAAGCAUAUCAAUAAGCGGAGGA
rnacentral:misc_RNA from 1 species